CUCGGAGGGAUCAUUAGCGAGUUAAUUACAAAACUCCAAAACCCAUGUGAACCUAUAUUGUUGCCUCGGCAGGUCGUGCUGCACGGGAGGAAAGCUACCCUGGAGGACUUACCCUGGAGUACCUACCCUGGAGUAGGUACCCCGGAGUUAGGUACCCUGGAGGCCGGCCGCACCUACCCUGUAGUACUAAACCAGGCCUGUCAAAGGACCCCCAAACUCUGUUUUAUACUGUAUCUCUGAGUCUAUUACACAAAUAAGUUAAAACUUUCAACAACGGAUCUCUUGGUUCUGGCAUCGAUGAAGAACGCAGCGAAAUGCGAUAAGUAAUGUGAAUUGCAGAAUUCAGUGAAUCAUCGAAUCUUUGAACGCACAUUGCGCCUAGCAGUAUUCUGCUAGGCAUGCCUGUUCGAGCGUCAUUUCAACCCCCAAGCCCUAUCUGCUUGACGUUGGGAACUUACGGAGACGUAAUUCCUCAAAUAUAGUGGCGGAGCCGGGUCGUGCUCUAAGCGUAGUAAACUCCAUUCUCGGUUCUGAGGCCGGCCCGGGUCCCGCCGUAAAACCCCCCUAUAUUAUACUGGUUGACCUCGGAUCAGGUAGGAAUACCCGCUGAACUUAAGCAU
rnacentral:rRNA from 1 species